rnacentral:sRNA from 1 species
UUCAACAGCCUUCUCGCCUUCAGUGUCUC